GUCUGUUCUCAGAGCGAUGGGCCGCGGAGACUGAUCUGCCGCCAUGAUUGGAGGCUUAUUCAUCUAUAAUCACAAGGGGGAGGUGCUCAUCUCCCGAGUCUACCGAGAUGACAUCGGGAGGAACGCAGUGGAUGCCUUUCGGGUCAAUGUUAUCCAUGCCCGGCAGCAGGUGCGCAGCCCCGUCACCAACAUUGCUCGCACCAGCUUCUUCCACGUUAAGCGGUCCAACAUUUGGCUGGCAGCAGUCACCAAGCAGAAUGUCAACGCUGCCAUGGUCUUCGAAUUCCUCUAUAAGAUGUGUGACGUGAUGGCUGCCUACUUUGGCAAGAUCAGCGAGGAAAACAUCAAGAACAAUUUUGUGCUCAUAUAUGAGCUGCUGGAUGAGAUUCUAGACUUUGGCUACCCACAGAAUUCCGAGACAGGCGCGCUGAAAACCUUCAUCACGCAGCAGGGCAUCAAGAGUCAGCAUCAGACAAAAGAAGAGCAGUCACAGAUCACCAGCCAGGUGACUGGGCAGAUUGGCUGGCGGCGAGAGGGUAUCAAGUAUCGCCGGAAUGAGCUCUUCCUGGAUGUGCUGGAGAGUGUGAACCUGCUUAUGUCCCCACAAGGUGAGGUCCCUCUCACAACAAAGUUGGAGGGGGCCCAGGGCAGGAUCCUGGGCCUGCCUGCCUGACUCCGCUGCUCCCCAUUUAUCUGUUCCAUCACCAGGGCAGGUGCUGAGUGCCCAUGUGUCGGGCCGGGUGGUGAUGAAGAGCUACCUGAGUGGCAUGCCUGAAUGCAAGUUUGGGAUGAAUGACAAGAUUGUUAUUGAAAAGCAGGGCAAAGGCACAGCUGAUGAAACAAGCAAGAGGUGCCUGAGGCAGGAGAGCUGGUGGGAAAGGGUGUCCCUUGGAGGGCUCAGUGGGGUCUA
rnacentral:sRNA from 1 species